rnacentral:rRNA from 1 species
AGCUCCAAUAGCGUAUAUUAAAGUUGUUGCAGUUAAAAAGCUCGUAGUCGAAUUUCGGGCGCGUGGGCGCGGUCGGUCCUUGUGGCUUGUACUGUGCGCGUGCGCCUUACCUUCUGGGGACUCGGCGUGCCUUUAGCUAGGUGUGCCGCCUAUCCAGGACUUUUACUUUGAGAAAAUUAGAGUGUUCAAAGCGGGCUAUUGCUUGAAUACGGUAACAUGGAAUAAUGGAAUAGGACUCUGGUCUUGUUUUGUUGGUUUGGAGACCAAAGUAAUGAUUAAUAGGGACAGUUGGGGGCAUUAGUAUUCAGGAGUCAGAGGUGAAAUUCUUGGAUUUCCUGAAGACUAACUACUGCGAAAGCAUUUGCCAAGGAUGUUUUCAUUA